rnacentral:rRNA from 1 species
AAACUGAAGAGUUUGAUCAUGGCUCAGAUUGAACGCUGGCGGCAGGCUUAACACAUGCAAGUCGAGCGGUAACAGGGGUAGC